UAAAACUCAGAGACAGAGACGUUGAGCCUUCCUGCACAUGUGGGAAGGUUGUUAGAAGCCUCGGCCUGCAACAUUUCUUUGUUUGUUUGCUUGUUAAUGGAUCCAGUGGAAAUUAACAAGACCAUUUCACAAGACUAAGCUGUACCAAGAUGCAGAAAUAACCAGGGCAGGGCAGCAGAGGACUGAGCCUUGUGCCCAAGAACACCAGUUGGUCAGCAGAACUCGGAGAGGUAGAUCAGCAUCCUGACUCUCCCACAUGGAUAAUAGAUGAAGAAAGUACUAGAAAGCAAAGAGCUGAAAAAGAGCGAUACCUUGAGAGAGCAGACACACAUUGCCAUAGGAGGAGACCUUGAGUUUACCCUGUCCAGGGCACUUCCUGGGGAGUGACCCCCCUCACACUGGCUAGAGGAGCAUUGGCCCCUCUGCAGGCAUAUCUCUCCUUAGGGGCCUGGCAUCGUCCAUUCAUAAGUAUCUCAUCAAUUCACUUUUUUUUC